GCAGCUCCAGGAUCUGGUGGAGAGUCCAAACUCCAAACUGCAGACUCUGAGGUGGGACUUGUGAGUCUGAUGUUCCUCCUGGAGGAGCAGAGAGGAGCAGCAGCAGCUGGUCUGCAGAGAUGUUGUGACUGGACGGUGUUCCUGGGAGGUGGAGAGCAGAGUGAUGGAGGAAUCAGAGGAAGUGGAGAUGAGUGUCAGAGCUGCAAGGAGAUCAGCUCCACUGUCUCUCUCAGCAUCAUAAUAAUAAUAAUAAUAAUAUGCCUAAACCCGAUACGGGUAAAACACUUUAAAGCAUAAAUAAUAAAGACAAAUUCUAUCAAGUUCAAAUUCCA